GUAAGGAAUAUUGGUCAAUGGGCGCAAGCCUGAACCAGCCAUGCCGCGUGCAGGAUGACGGCCCUAUGGGUUGUAAACUGCUUUUGUACGGGAAAAAACCCCUUUACGUGUAAAGGGCUGAUGGUACCGUAAGAAUAAGGAUCGGCUAACUCCGUGCCAGCAGCCGCGGUAAUACGGAGGAUCCAAGCGUUAUCCGGAUUUAUUGGGUUUAAAGGGUGCGCAGGCGGAAUAAUAAGUCAGUGGUGAAAUCCUACAGCUUAACUGUAGAACUGCCAUUGAUACUGUUAUUCUUGAGUAUAGUUGAAGUGGGCGGAAUGUGUCAUGUAGCGGUGAAAUGCUUAGAUAUGACACAGAACACCAAUUGCGAAGGCAGCUCACUAAGCUAUAACUGACGCUCAUGCACGAAAGCGUGGGGAUCAAACAGGAUUAGAAACCCCUGUAGUCC
rnacentral:rRNA from 1 species